UAUAGCUCAGCUGGGAGAGCGCCUGCUUUGCACGCAGGAGGUCUGCGGUUCGAUCCCGCAUAGGAA
rnacentral:tRNA from 1 species